GAACGCACAUUGCACCCCUUGGUAUUCCGAGGGGUAUGCCUGUUCGAGCGUCAUUACACCACUCAAGCACAGCUUGGUAUUGGGCAACCGCCCCCGCCAGUCGGGGACGCGCCUCAAACACCUCGGCGGAGCCUCACCGGCUUUGGGCGUAGUAGAAUUUCUAAUAACGUCCUUUAACGGAGAUGGUUCCUUUGCCGACAGAAUCUUUAUAUUUUUCUAGGUUGACCUCGGAUCAGGUAGGGAUACCCGCUGAACUUAAG
rnacentral:misc_RNA from 1 species